rnacentral:misc_RNA from 1 species
CUGUGCCACAAAGGAGCUCCUCUCCAUCCCAUCUCCAACGUCGCCCCAACCCCCAUCACCGACAGGGAACCCACCUCUCACGUCGACACCGCCAGAGGAGGAGAUGGUGGAGAUACGGGCGUUGCGAUCCGAGGCAGCACGCUAGAGCGACGAGAGCGUGGCGACGUGGAGAUCAUGGGAGUCCUGCGCAGCGUCGCGGCGAGGCGCCCGUCGGGGAGGCAGCGGGCACGGAGAGAGCGGAGAGUGACGGCGACAACGGGUCCCGCCUGUCGCGCGAACCAGGGAAAUAUCUACAUCUCGUCUGCGCCGCCGCUGGGAUUUAUUAGGGUUCUACUUCUAGCCCAGGCCAACUCCACACCAAUCCAAUCCUGGGGCGGGCGACUGCCUCCUUCCCUCGAUUUGACGUGCGCUUCCUCUUCCUCGCUCGCUCUCGGUCGCAGUCACAGGCCCACAACACAAGCAACUUUCUUAUUACUGUCGGGGUUCCGAAGCCAACAAAAGGACGCAUCAUUCCAACUAACUUUCAGAGCAGCGCAGCGUGUCUUGCUUUGUUGGUGCCUUGCAAACCGCAGGUGCUGUGCUACAAUUGCAGAAAUAAGGAAGUAUCUUUGA